rnacentral:rRNA from 1 species
GACAGAGGGGGCAAGCGUUGCUCGGAAUCACUGGGCGUAAAGGGCGCGUAGGCGGGAUGGCAAGUCAGUCGUGAAAUCUCUCGGCUCAACCGAGAAACGUCGGCUGAUACUGCCGUUCUUGAGGGAUGCAGAGGAGACUGGAAUUCCCGGUGUAGCGGUGAAAUGUGUAGAGAUCGGGAGGAACACCGGUGGCGAAGGCGGGUCUCUGGGCAUCUCCUGACGCUGAGGCGCGAAAGCGUGGGGAGCAAACGGG